rnacentral:rRNA from 1 species
UACGUAGGGGGCAAGCGUUGUCCGGAUUUAUUGGGCGUAAAGAGCGUGUAGGCGGCCAUACAGGUCCGUUGUGAAAACUGGAGGCUUAACCUCCAGACGUCGAUGGAAACCGUAUGGCUAGAGGCCGGAAGAGGAGAGUGGAAUUCCUGGUGUAGCGGUGAAAUGCGCAGAUAUCAGGAAGAACACCCGUGGCGAAGGCGGCUCUCUGGGACGGUACUGACGCUGAGACGCGAAAGCGUGGGGAGCGAACAGG